rnacentral:pre_miRNA from 1 species
UAUUAAAAAAAUUAUUUAUUUGUACUAUUAAAAACUAGUAUGAAUGACGAAAUAACUUGACAAUGACAUGUGCAUGCCACGUAUAUCUCAUACUGACGUAUAAGAACCAAUUUUUAGCAAUAAAAAUGAAUAAAAUUUAUAACA